rnacentral:rRNA from 1 species
UGGGGAAUAUUGCACAAUGGGGGAAACCCUGAUGCAGCCAUGCCGCGUGUGUGAAGAAGGCCUUCGGGUUGUAAAGCACUUUCAGCGAGGAGGAAAGGGUGUAAGUUAAUACCUUACAUCUGUGACGUUACUCGCAGAAGAAGCACCGGCUAACUCCGUGCCAGCAGCCGCGGUAAUACGGAGGGUGCGAGCGUUAAUCGGAAUUACUGGGCGUAAAGCGUGCGCAGGCGGUUUGUUAAGCGAGAUGUGAAAGCCCCGGGCUCAACCUGGGAACCGCAUUUCGAACUGGCAAACUAGAGUCUUGUAGAGGGGGGUAGAAUUCCAGGUGUAGCGGUGAAAUGCGUAGAGAUCUGGAGGAAUACCGGUGGCGAAGGCGGCCCCCUGGACAAAGACUGACGCUCAGGCACGAAAGCGUGGGGAGCAAACAGGAUUAGAUACCCUGGUAGUCCACGCCGUAAACGAUGUCUACUCGGAGUUUGGUGUCUUGAACACUGGGCUCUCAAGCUAACGCAUUAAGUAGACCGCCUGGGGAGUACGGCCGCAAGGUUA